rnacentral:rRNA from 1 species
AUUGAACGCUGGCGGCAGGCUUAACACAUGCAAGUCGAGCGGAGAUGAGGUGCUUGCACCUUAUCUUAGCGGCGGACGGGUGAGUAAUGCUUAGGAAUCUGCCUAUUAGUGGGGGACAACAUUCCGAAAGGAAUGCUAAUACCGCAUACGUCCUACGGGAGAAAGCAGGGGAUCUUCGGACCUUGCGCUAAUAGAUGAGCCUAAGUCGGAUUAGCUAGUUGGUGGGGUAAAGGCCUACCAAGGCGACGAUCUGUAGCGGGUCUGAGAGGAUGAUCCGCCACACUGGGACUGAGACAAGGCCCAGAAUCCUACGGGAGGCAGCAGUGGGGAAUAUUGGACAAUGGGCGGAAGCCUAAUCCAGCCAUGCCGCGUGUGUGAAGAAGGCCUUAUGGUUGUAAAGCACUUUAAGCGAGGAGGAGGCUACUUUAGUUAAUACCUAGAGAUAGUGGACGUUACUCGCAGAAUAAGCACCGGCUAACUCUGUGCCAGCAGCCGCCGUAAUAC